rnacentral:rRNA from 1 species
CGGUGUUUAACUGGCGUGAUGUGGGACGUCCUACCGGUGGGCUUAGCCUCGCGAGGGGCGGCCCAACUAAUAUCCCGUCGCGGUGCUCUUUACUGAGUGUCGAGUCGGGCCGGUACGUUUACUUUGAACAAAUUAGAGUGCUUAAAGCAGGCUAUCCUCGCCUGAAUACUGCGUGCAUGGAAUAAUGGAAUAGGACCUCGGUUCUAUUUUGUUGGUUUUCGGAACCCCGAGGUAAUGAUUAAUAGGGACAGAUGGGGGCAUUCGUAUUGCGACGUUAGAGGUGAAAUUCUUGGAUCGUCGCAAGACGGACAGAAGCGAAAGCAUUUGCCAAAAAUGUUUUCAUUAAUCAAGAACGAAAGUUAGAGGUUCGAAGGCGAUCAGAUACCGCCCUAGUUCUAACCAUAAACGAUGCCAGCUAGCGAUCCGCCGAAGUUCCUCCGAUGACUCGGCGGGCAGCUUCCGGGAAACCAAAGCUUUUGGGUUCCGGGGGAAGUAUGGUUGCAAAGCUGAAACUUAAAGGAAUUGACGGAAGGGCACCACCAGGAGUGGAGCCUGCGGCUUAAUUUGACUCAACACGGGAAACCUCACCAGGCCCAGACACCGGAAGGAUUGACAGAUUGAUAGCUCUUUCUUGAUUCGGUGGGGUGGUGGUGCAUGGCCGUUCUUAGUUGGUGGAGCGAUUUGUCUGGUUAAUUCCGAUAACGAACGAGACUCUAGCCUGCUAAAUAGGCGUACCUUAUGGUAUCGCGAAGGCCCCCGGCUUCGGCCGGUGGGUUUUUACUACCAACGUACAAACAAAUCUUCUAGAGGGACAGGCGG